rnacentral:rRNA from 1 species
GAUGAACGCUGGCGGCGUGCUUAACACAUGCAAGUCGAACGAUGAAGCCCAGCUUGCUGGGUGGAUUAGUGGCGAACGGGUGAGUAACACGUGAGUAAACUGCCCUUAACUCUGGGAUAAGCCUGGGAAACUGGGUCUAAUACCGGAUAGGAGCGUCCACCGCAUGGUGGGUGUUGGAAAGAUUUAUCGGUUUUGGAUGGACUCGCGGCCUAUCAGCUUGUUGGUGAGGUAAUGGCUCACCAAGGCGACGACGGGUAGCCGGCCUGAGAGGGUGACCGGCCACACUGGGACUGAGACACGGCCCAGACUCCUACGGGAGGCAGCAGUGGGGAAUAUUGCACAAUGGGCGCAAGCCUGAUGCAGCGACGCCGCGUGAGGGAUGACGGCCUUCGGGUUGUAAACCUCUUUCAGUAGGGAAGAAGCGAAAGUGACGGUACCUGCAGAAGAAGCACCGGCUAACUACGUG